rnacentral:rRNA from 1 species
AUUGAACGCUGGCGGCAGGCCUAACACAUGCAGGUCGAGCGAGCGGCGGACGGGUGAGUAAUGUCUGGGAAACUGCCUGAUGGAGGGGGAUAACUACUGGAAACGGUAGCUAAUACCGCAUACCAUCAGAUGUGCCCCGAUGGGAGUAGCUCGGUGGGGGGGUAACGGACAACCAAGGCGCCGAUCCCUAGCUGGGCUGAGAGGAUGACCAGCCAAACUGGAACUGAGACACGGUCCAGACUCCUACGGGAGGCAGCAGUGGGGAAUAUUGCACAAUGGGCGCAAGCCUGAGGCAGCCAUGCCGCGUGUGUGAAGAAGGCCUUCGGGUUGUAAAGCACUUUCAGCGGGGAGGCGUUACCCGCAGAAGAAGCACCGGCUAACUCCGUGCCAGCAGCCGCGGUAAUAC